AGAGUUUGAUCCUGGCUCAGAACGAACGCUGGCGGCAUGCCUAACACAUGCAAGUCGAACGAGAAAACUCUCUUCGGAGAGUCGGUAAAGUGGCGCAAGGGUGAGUAACACGUGGAUAAUCUGCCCUCAAACCUGGGAUAACUUGGCGAAAGUUGAGCUAAUACCGGAUAAGACCACGUUUCACAAGGAAUGCGGUCAAAGGGGUCUCAAUCCCCGUUUGAGGAUGAGUUCGCGGACCAUUAGCUAGUUGGUGAGAUAAAAGCUCACCAAGGCUUCGAUGGUUAGCCGGCCUGAGAGGGUGAACGGCCACACUGGAACUGAGACACGGUCCAGACUCCUACGGGAGGCAGCAGUGGGGAAUAUUGCGCAAUGGGCGAAAGCCUGACGCAGCAAUGCCGCGUGAGGGAUGAAGGUCUUAGGAUUGUAAACCUCUGUCGGAUGGGAAGAAUAAUGACGGUACCAUCAGAGGAAGCCCCGGCUAACUCCGUGCCAGCAGCCGCGGUAAUACGGAGGGGGCAAGCGUUGUUCGGAAUUAUUGGGCGUAAAGCGUAUGUAGGCGGUUUGAUAAGUCAGGCGUGUAAGCCCGUGGCUCAACCACGGAAUUGCGUCUGAAACUAUCUAACUUGAGUGUAGGAGAGGAAAGCGGAAUUCCCAGUGUAGCGGUGAAAUGCAUUGAUAUUGGGAAGAACAUCGGUGGCGAAGGCGGCUUUCUGGCCUAAUACUGACGCUGAGAUACGAAAGCUAGGGGAGCGAACGGGAUUAGAUACCCCGGUAGUCCUAGCUGUAAACGAUGGGUACUAGGUGCAGGAGGUAUCGAUCCCUUCUGUGUCGCAGCUAACGCAUUAAGUACCCCGCCUGGGGAGUACGGUCGCAUAGGCUGAAACUCAAAGGAAUUGUACGGUUGGCCCAACAGCUUGAGCUAUACCGGAUAAGACCACGUUUCACAAGGAAUGGGA
rnacentral:rRNA from 1 species